rnacentral:rRNA from 1 species
GACGAACGCUGGCGGCGCGCCUAACACAUGCAAGUCGAACGAGAGAGAGGGAGCUUGCUUCCUCAAUCGAGUGGCGAACGGGUGAGUAACGCGUGAGGAACCUGCCUCAAAGAGGGGGACAACAGUUGGAAACGACUGCUAAUACCGCAUAAGCCCACGGCUCGGCAUCGAGCAGAGGGAAAAGGAGCAAUCCGCUUUGAGAUGGCCUCGCGUCCGAUUAGCUAGUUGGUGAGGUAAUGGCCCACCAAGGCAACGAUCGGUAGCCGGACUGAGAGGUUGAACGGCCACAUUGGGACUGAGACACGGCCCAGACUCCUACGGGAGGCAGCAGUGGGGAAUAUUGCACAAUGGGGGAAACCCUGAUGCAGCGACGCCGCGUGGAGGAAGAAGGUCUUCGGAUUGUAAACUCCUGUUGUUGAGGAAGAUAAUGACGGUACUCAACAAGGAAGUGA